rnacentral:rRNA from 1 species
UACGAAGGGAGCUAGCGUUGUUCGGAAUCACUGGGCGUAAAGCGCACGUAGGCGGACGUGUCAGUCAGGGGUGAAAUCCCGGAGCUCAACUUCGGAACUGCCUUUGAUACAGCACGUCUUGAGUACGGAAGAGGUAUGUGGAACUCCGAGUGUAGAGGUGAAAUUCGUAGAUAUCGGGAGGAACACCGGUGGCGAAGGCGGCGAUCUGGGUCGAUACUGACGCUGAGGUGCGAAAGCGUGGGUAGCAAACAGG